UACGGGGGGGGGGUAAGCGUUGUUCGGAAUUACUGGGCGUAAAGGGCUCGUAGGCGGCCAACUAAGUCAGACGUGAAAAUCCCUCGGCUUAACCGGGGGAACUGCAUCUGAUACUGGAUGGCUUGAGUUCGGGAGAGGGAUGCGGAAUUCCAGGUGUAGCGGUGAAAUGCGUAGAUAUCUGGAGGAACACCGGUGGCGAAGGCGGCAUCCUGGACCGACACUGACGCUGAGGAGCGAAAGCCAGGGGAGCAAACGGG
rnacentral:rRNA from 1 species